GCCUGAGUGGCUCAGUUGGUUGAGCGUCCGACUUGGGCUCAGGUCAUGAUCUCGCAGUCUGUGAGUUCAAGCCCCACCUCGGCCU
rnacentral:tRNA from 1 species